rnacentral:lncRNA from 10 species
GCGGAGGCAAGAAGAUAGUUUGACCCCAGGAGUUCAAGGUCAGCCUGGGCAACCAUAGUGAGACACUGUUCCCCACCCCAAAAUGGAAAAAAUUGCAAUGUCUUUAUUACAUACAUGUUUAUUUCCUUACAGGGUCUAACACUGUCUUGAAAAUAUUGUUGCUCAACAAAUAGCUUCCAGCUUGUUUUAUCUAAAAAUUCUAAAAUUCUUAGUAAAAAUGUAACUCAUGACAUUACUGCUGGGUAGGAAUGUCUCCAGGUUUCCAAAAAUUAUAAAGGAAAAGAAAAACUGGAUUUAAAUCUACCGCAACCCCAAUAAAUUCAACAAAGUUGAAUAGAAAGAAAUUGAGCCAUUUUUCUUCAUUCUUACUUAAGAAUUUCCUACCCAUAUUAUAAAAGUGAUUUUUGUUUCUAUUUUCCAUUUCUUCCACCACAACAUUAAUGCCUUAAACUCUGCUAGACUAUGUUCCAUGAUGUGGGAGUCUUACUCACCUCUUGUGCCCACAGAUUUUGAACCCUUUGAGUAAUGGACAAAAAAGUCAGAUAGUGAUUAAAAUAUAAGCUUUCUUCUCUCCAAAGUAGGGUUGAAGAAUAUGAUUUGGGUCUGCAAUAAAAACAAAGCUUCUUCAACUUUCUCCCAAUCUAGACCUUGGGACUUGGCUAAGGAGAGAGUCUGUAAAUCAGACAGUUGCUCAG